CUUAGAGUUUGAUCCAUGGCUCAGAUUGAACGCUGGCGGCAGGCCUAACACAUGCAAGUCGAGCGGUAACAGGAAGAAGCUUGCUUCUUUGCUGACGAGCGGCGGACGGGUGAGUAAUGCAUGGGAAUCUGCCCGAUAGAGGGGGACAACGUUCCGAAAGGGGCGCUAAUACCGCAUACGUCCUACGGGAGAAAGCAGGCUUUUGCUUGCGCUAUCGGAUGAGCCCAUGUCGGAUUAGCUAGUUGGUAGGGUAAAGGCUUACCAAGGCGACGAUCCGUAACUGGUCUGAGAGGAUGAUCAGUCACACCGGAACUGAGACACGGUCCGGACUCCUACGGGAGGCAGCAGUGGGGAAUAUUGGACAAUGGGGGCAACCCUGAUCCAGCCAUGCCGCGUGUGUGAAGAAGGCCUUCGGGUUGUAAAGCACUUUCAGCGAGGAGGAAAGGUAUGUGGUUAAUACCCGCAUACUGUGACGUACUCGCAGAAGAGCACCGCAA
rnacentral:rRNA from 1 species